UUCACAUAGAAUUCACUGUCACUGAAAGCAUGGGAUUUAGGAGAAGAGUUUUGGUGUUUUGAUGGCGAAGGCAGCAAAUGCAGAUCAGAAGCAAGCAGAGAGGAAGUUCUGGAAGGUCAGUGCUAGUUUGAGUGGAAUGUUUGUCACAUGCCACUGGAAGAGUUCUGAUGAGUGUUUCAUCGUGACUUCGUGUUGAAAAUGCCUGACCCCUUGCUUGGUCCAUUGUAAUGCCAGCCUGUGGUUACUGGAACCCAGUCUGCCAGACCAAAGGAGGAAGUCUCCUAGGCAGAUGUGGAACCCAAAAGAGGAACUUCACCAAGUGCUGUGGACGGCUCUUCCAUUUCAUGCCCCGUGGAUUUUGGGGGAAGUAUUUUUGUGGCUCACCAGUCCCUCAUUGGGCAAGGGCCACUUGUCUUGGAUUGGCCUUCUCCACUGGUGGAAAGUACGGCUGGGAGAUGUGGAGUGGUUGCUGUUUGACUUUGAAUCUUGCUAGGACAGUCACCAUGAACCUUUUUGGUAAGAUCAAGAGGUGAAGUUUGUUGUUGAGGAUUGCAGGAUUCCUUCUAACCUUUGGGGACAUUUUGAAUCAUAACUGUCAGUGGCUUUC